rnacentral:rRNA from 1 species
AUUGGUAACGAUAGCAAAGAGGAUACACCUGUUCCCAUCUCGAACACAGAAGUUAAGCUCUUUAACGCCGACGAUAGUUUAUCGCGAAAAUAGGAAGUUGCCAAUU